rnacentral:rRNA from 1 species
UACAGAGGUCUCAAGCGUUGUUCGGAUUCAUUGGGCGUAAAGGGUGUGUAGGUGGCGCCGUAAGUCGGGUGUGAAAUUUCGGAGCUUAACUCCGAAACUGCAUUCGAUACUGCGGUGCUUGAGGACUGGAGAGGAGACUGGAAUUCAUGGUGUAGCAGUGAAAUGCGUAGAGAUCAUGAGGAAGACCAGUGGCGAAGGCGGGUCUCUGGACAGUUCCUGACGCUCAGGCACGAAAGCGUGGGGAGCAAACAGG